GGCAGGGGUGGGAGCCAGAGGUUGCGGGGCGAUGGUGGAAGGUUUAACGGGACCGAUUUCUGGAACAUUCGGGACUGCGGCACCCUGCGGCCAGACCGAGAUUUGGGUCUGCGCAAGCGACGAUGGGUGGUCCGAUGGGCUUCAGGACUUGAUGGCGUAACCCCCUUCUUCCCCCACGUACGUAUUUGUUGGGAUCGGGGGCGAUGUCUCUGCGUAUGUGGGUGCUCUGUCUUUCUCACCUUCUUUCUCGCUUUUUGCUAUUUUUUCUCUGAGAGAGGGUUUUUUGUUUUUGUUUUUUUUUUCCACUUUAAUUUCUUUUCUCUUAGUGUCAGCUGCUCAAGCCUGACCGGGGUAGAGGAGAGAGGAGCAAGCUGUCCCUGGCGUCCCACCUGACCUCCCAGCCUUUGCCCCCAUUUCCUUCUAUUGGACAGACAGACAGACUGGUUUUCCAGGUUGUUUGGGUGUCAGCGUCUGUCUGUCCGUCCAUGCGAUUCUUAGGUGGAAGGAAGGUAGGGAGUGGGGAGGAGAGGUGCUGGGAGGAAAGUGAAAGGCACAGUUUUCCAGGGGUUGCCUGAUUGAAAUGUUCGGCCCCAGGCACCUGGGGUUGGUGGGGAGCAGGUGGGCAGGAUGGGGCGUGGGUUGGGAGAAGUGGGGUAAAGCUGCUAGGUUUGUCACUGCGUAGUUGGGAAAAGUGGGGAAUGGUGACGCAGUCACUGUUGCAUCUUGUUAGGAGCUCCAUGGGGACAGGUAGUGAGGCUCCCGGCAUCUGUAGGGCCAGCUGAGAGGGGUUAAGGAUGAGCUGAGGAGGGAAGCGAGCAUUUAGAGAUUAAAUGUCAUCCUUUUGGCGUUGGAAAGUUGUUUACCUUGCGCUCUCUGUGUCUCCAUGUUGGCACCCUUCCAGUUCACAUGUGAUGGCCUUCCUUGUACUGCUGCAUCAUUAACUAAGUGACUGAGCUGGCCUUCCAUUGGCCAGGGGAGGGCUCUCACUCCAGACCUUUCUUCUGAUUGGUGGGUGGGCCAAUGGCAGGUGAAAACCUUUUUUUGAUUGGCUGAGGGCAGGGUAUCAAAUCUGAAUUUGCAUUUCACUUGCUUAAAGGGGAGGGGGGGAGAAGCCCAGCGGCUUUCUAAAAUCUGUUGAGGGGUGUGCGUAUGCCCCUGUGUCCGUGCCUGCUUUUGACUGACCAGUUGAAGCCUCUUCCUAUGCCUUUUUUAUUUCAUGCACUCUAAGGAAGAGGAGCUCAGUGUUCCCCAAACUUUCUUUUGAAGGAGGAAGGGCUGGAGAGAUGGGUGCGCAGAGAGUCGACCAAACUGGAAGGAAAUAUCUGUCCUUUAGUUUGGUGUCGGAAAAGGGAGUUUUCAGUCUGCCACACCUCAGUGUUGCGGCAAAAUAAUUCUUGGCUCCCCUGGAAACGCACGGGCAAGGUAGGACGGAGGUGCUGCGGCUGACAACCACCACCACCAUGGGCUUCCUGCUGCCUCUGGGCUACUCCCCGGGGGCCAGAGAUUUGCAUUGACGGGGCUGUCCAGAGCUGAGCCCAGUGUAGGAAGGACCUGCCUUCUGGAAGCUGCUGCUCCUUGGUGCUGGGAAAGGUACCACGUCAGGCUCUUUCUCGGAGCUUAUUUCAUGUAUUGCUUUACCGCAACGCUGCGAGGAGAAUCCCAUGGCUGGUAAGUGUUCUGCUCAUGAUUAGAACCCUUAUUCUCCCAAAGCCUUUGCAUUUUUUUACCUGUCCGUUCUCAGUGUCUGCAAAAUGCCUCUUACAAAGUAGACCCCCAAAACGUGUCUAUUUAAGGAAUUUUGUAUAUCCGUGAUACUGUAUGGGGGUUUGGGUGGCCGACGUUCCUGCGCCCGAGGUCCAGGUCUCUUAGUCAUUCUGUGCUACCCUCCCUGUUACCUCAUUAACUUUCUCCUCUUCUUUGCGGUCAGGUUCACGCAAGAUGAUCGCUUUUUUUUUUUUUUGUAGCUGCAAUUGGUGGAUUAACAAACCUCAGUCAUCCUGGUCACCUUCCUCCUAGAGGAGGAGGUGGAGAUGGGAUGGUUGUAGCACCUUCAGAGCAGAAUGAGCUCCAGAACCCAGAAUCACUGGAGCUCAUAGAAGGCAGGGAGCAGAGCCUCCGUUUGCAUCUUGACCCUGCCUCGUCUUGCUGGGUGGUUUCUCUAAGGCUUCGUGAUCUCAGUCAGUGACAUGGAGCCACCGUAAUCUACUACACAGAAAUGCCUAAUAUAUUGCUAAGCAGAUAGGAUCCCUGCAGAAACUGAAGCACCUCCCUUUCCCCUGCCCAGCUGUCUUAUCGGGCCCUUAAGAAGGGAACAUAGCAGGUGGCUGGAGAAGGAAUGGGGGGGAAGGGAGCUUGCGUGCCUUCAGUGAUAUCGGAAACAGAGGCAGAGGAAGAGGUAACCAGGCAGUACGCACCUGAAGCCUGCGAGGGGACGCCUUUCCCCCACCCGGAGUAAAGACCCCUUUAACGUCUGCGUCAGGGAAACGCCGUGGGAGCGGAGCCGUGAGGCCAGGGCAGGCGGUGGCAGGGUGAGGGUUAACCAGUGGUCCUUCCUGGGAGCCUUGUGAUGCCAGCUUAGUUUCCCUUCUUUCUGAACGGCAGUGGUGGCCGCCUGCUUCCUGACGCCGUUGCAUCCCGUGGGAGGGGAGUUGGGCACCCUGAAGCCCCUCGUCACCAGUUCUGGGCUGCAGAACAGAGAGUGACGACAGCCCAUGAGUCGUCAGCCGACGGCAGUGGGGACCCUGGUGACGGCUGCUUUGUUGUUUUUUUCCUCUUUGGAUGAUGACUCAGUAUGUCGGGAGCUGGGAGAUGGAGCGCUCAGCCGAGUGGCCAGGACGUUCUGUCAACAUGAAAGCAGCAAAAACAGCUUGUCAGGGCUUGGAGCUGACCCUGGGGCUGGGGUCAUUUUCAGGAAGGGCUUGGCAGAGAAGACCACUUCUGGGCAUCGGGUGGGGGUGACACCAGGUAUCCCAACGGGGCUCCGUGGACUCUUGAAUUUUAGAAACCAAACAGAACGCACAGCUGCUUGUGUUAUUACUAUUACGCGCUUGGCAAACAGAGCCACUUUUCAAGCUCCUCUCACCCGUCCCCAACAAGAGGCAUCUUCUCGGGGCCAGAAAACCCUCUGGGAUUUCUCACCGUGGCCUGUUGCCUUGGAUGGGUGAGUCCCAUGUCGGGUGGGGUGGGCCUGGCAGUCUUUGGCGAACCCCGGCAUUCCGGGGCCCUGGGAGUGAGUGCCCAUCAUGGGGAUGUGGCAUCUCAGGUGUCCUCUUCUGGCAUCAUGUGAAAAUGGUGCGUCCACCCCACCAGCCUCGAGCUGAAGGCCAGCUCUUGGGCAGCCUGAUUGAGCCUCCCCUUCCCUUAUUGCCCAACUUCUCUUCUCCCCGUUCAUCUUCCUCCGUUCCUUCUCAGGAGAAACGGUGGGCCUCGCGUCCUUGACCGUUGCGCAUGUAUGUAUGCGUCAUCAUGGCGGCUCCGGAUUCUAGGCUUUUCUUGAAGCUGCAGCAUUGCGCCACGUGCGCGUGACCUUCCCCCCUUGCCCCGCCCGCCCGGCCCCGCCCAACCAGGCCCAGCCGGGCCCAGCCGUGCCUUCUCGGGAGCAGGAGAGACCUGGACCGCCAUCGCCACCAAAUCGCAGAGAACUCAGAGGAGUUGAGCUCCGUCAGUAGGUGACAGCGUCAUGGAGACUCAGGCGGCCAAGCUGAGGACGGAGCUGGUGUGCAGAAGACAGCCAUCAUGUGGCCGAAUAGAAUGGCCCGUUUGCAUUUAUUUGGAACAAAAAAAAGGAGAUGCGUGUCAGCCUGGCUCUCUGCAGUAAGUAUUCAUCUGACUUCUCUUAUUCCUUCAAACAUCGGGAGCGAUAGAUGUUUAUUGAACCCGCCCAGCGGCUGUGCCUUCCCCUUCCUUUCCCUGCAGACCCCUGCCCCUGGUCCUCCAUCAGAGAGGACGAGAUCAGUUUCCUAGUGCUGGUGGAGAGCUGCGGAGAGGCUAGAUCUCGGCGUUUCACCCCCGCACGUCACCCUCACAUUCAGGAGAAGUCGAUUUUCCCUAAAAUGGAGCCAAAAGCCCAUGUCCCUCAGUGCAGUGUUAUUAAUGGGCCGACAGGAAGGGCCUGCUUGCCCUCACUGCCCCCAGCAGGAAGGUGAGGCUCUCAGCUGGCUGGCUGGGGGAGGACGAUCCUUGCCAGCAUCUAGUGUGGUUCUCUGCCAAGUUCUAGCUCCAAAUCUCUAGGCCGCUAGGAACCUAGGCUAUAUAUAGCAUUGUGCUAAGCAGUUCUUAUCGGACAUGUCUGCCCUCCCCUGCAGGAGAGGAGCCCUUCUCCCAGGGAACCGGAACCUUGAGAGUGUGAGCCACCAUCUCCAGGGGGCCUUCCAUUCCAGGAAGGGCUGUGUGUCUGUGUCUGGUUCCGGAAUGCCAAGUUUUCUUUCCUUUUCCUUCUUUCAGACGCUGAUAGAUUGGAAGGUCUGAUGUGGGAUGAGGGCCAGGAGGGGCUGAUGGUUCUCCAUGGAUCUGGGGGCUUGGAGGAGGACAGGCUAGAGGCUGGAAAUGUGGCCGGCGGCACGGCGUGCCUUGUGUCACCCACCAGCCUCCCGCGUGUCUUCUUGGUUUCCUGUUUGCCUUGCUUUGCUCAUGGAUGUCUUCUGACCUCUUGCGCUUCUUCUGGACCUCUUGUCUUCCCUGCCCUCCUCUACCUCUUCCUCCUCCUUCCUUUGAUUUUUGUUCGGCUCUGUGACGGCCGCGGUGCUGAGGGCAUCCGGGAACUGUCUGCUCUCCGCCCUCACCGGCCGUCGGGGUUUCGGGGAAAUCUGCCUUUAGUCAGCUGUCCUCGGGGGGAGUUGGGUGGUGACUGUGCAUGUCGUGCUGGGUGGUAGAGGGCAGAACGGGCUGGAUAUUUGCCUCCUCCUCCCCUCGUAGGUGCUGUGCAGCCACCAGGGUCUGUGGUUCUGUGACCCUGAGUGCCGACCGAUGGGGACACGAUCCAGUCUUGUCAGUGAAUCAUCUUCAGGCUGCUUAUUGGAAACCAGAUGGUGAGAGAAAAUGGGGUGUAACCCAUGCCUCCCAGGUGAGUCAGGUUUGGGCCCCCUCUUCUGGCCUUCCCCUAGCCCCCUUCCCUUCUCGUGGCAACCGUUUUCCUUAGUAGGGAAUCCUCAAACAUCUCCAUUCAGAAUCUCCCAAACAAUGCCCUCUUCUUUCCAUUCUCCCACUCCUGGCUUUUCUGUGAAUGGGGUUAGUAACCAGCAAGGGCCUGGGGGCAGGGCCAGCCCAAGUGAUCCACCGGCUUGUGGGAGAUGGCUGGGAUGCGUUGCUGGGUGUGGCAGUCGGCGGAGCAGUUGGGCCUCCCACGGUGACUGGUCUGGAACUCUCCUUGGCCCCCAACAUCCAGCGUGAGGGUCUGGGUUAGAGCCCCUUAGGUGCCACACGGGCCUGCGGGCGUUCCUUUCCUUGUGUAUCCCAGUGGAUGUUCGCUCUUACUCUAGAUACCUUUAGACUCGCUGGAGUUUAGAGUAUGGACUCGGUGGUGGACUUCAGGGCUCUUGCUCUACUUGGGGCGGGGGGUUGUUCUGGGUUUUUUUUUGUUUGUUUGAGUGAAUCCUUCUCUUCCUCUAGGCCCUCAUUGCCUUCACCUUAAAAAAAAAAAAUUCUGGGCCUAGUAAGCAUUGCCAAGCAUCUCUAGGCAGUUGACGUAGAAAUCUUUUUUCUCUGCCUCACUUGAUGCUGGUCACAGUAAUAGCAACAGUGAUUUAAAAUGAUGGUGGUCGGCAGAACUGGGGAGAUCUGUCGCAUUCUAGAGACAACUCAGGAAGCAGACGGUAGGCACUUGCCAUGCUCCCUACCGGGAAAUCUCUCCUAUGGAAUGCAUUCCUGUAAUGUUCUGGGCGAGCAGGGUCAGGUUGGAAUUAGCCGACAGCAGAUUUGUCUGGGGUCUCGAGAUCAAAGAGAUGGUGCUGGGCAGUUUUAUGAUGGCGCUUGGCUAAUUUCCAGAGGCACCCGUGGGAUCCCACCUCUGCUGCUUGUCUCAUGAAUGUCUCCCCACCCCCUUCCCACCGCUGUCCGGGAAGGACUGGUGAAUUCUGCCUGUCGGUGUUUGAUCUUCUCUUCUCUCCAUCUGAGAUGUGUUUCUGAAUUGGCUGUGAGCAGCCUGAGGUCCUCACCGAGUGAGGCAUCCAGGGCUGUUGGGAAGAGUCCAGUGUCUCUGUUGGGAAGAGGCCAGUGUCUCUUCCCUAAAGGAAUUUGACAAGUCUCAGCCCCUCCAGUAGUGAGGUAGGGAGGAUGGCUAGGGGUAUGGGACCUGGAACACGAAUAAAGAGGAGAGAUCAGCUUUGGUGCAGCUGGGGAGAUGAGGAGGAGCCGGCCAAGUCCCUCAAGAUGUGUCGGCUAGAGUCUGUCCAGCGCCGGCUGCAGGGCUGGGGCCAGAUGGGGCCGCAGCCAUGCUCGGGAGCCCUCUGCUGCUGUAUGUGCGGUGCAGCCCUGGGCCUGGCUUGGGGUCAUGGCCGCUCCUAUUCACAGCCCUGCCCUGCCCUUGGCGGCAUUGAGAUAACCAGAGUGGGAAGCAAAGGGAAAGUUGGUUUGGCUCCCUGUGACGCAGUUUUCUCUGGGGCCUCUGGUAUUUCCAGAAUUGGGGGUGGACGCUUCCCCGUUGAUUUUCCUAUUUUCGUUCCUCAUUUAGUUCUUUCCUCCCUGCUUACCAGCGUGGCUUCCAUUGACCUGACACGGGCAUUAUGUGUCACAAGCCAAACCAGGAGAACAGUUGGCAUCCCCUGAGAGGGGGACCAGGCUUAUCUGGCACUUGGUUCUCAACCUCUGCAGCCCUGCAGUCUGGGAGCCAGGAGGCAGUGUGGGGCCUUUCCGUCUGGGGUCCAGCAGAGGUGAACAGAGCUGGUGGCCCUGGAGCCGUGGUGGUGUGGCUUGGCCAGGAGGCGUUGGGGAGGGGCCCUGCCAAGGGACCUGAUUGGUCAGCACCUUCUCUGUUCCACUGGAUCCUGGUCUGGUCAGGGCUGUGAGUUGUUUAAUGCAUAUCUUGGCUCUGUCCCCUGGCACAAGGGCCUCUGAAGCUGCAGCCCCGGCUUUAGAGAGGAUGUGUACCUCGUGCUGGUCACUGUUUUGGGCACGUUGCCUCCCUGUGAGAUAUGUGCGAGAUACUGCCUUUUCCACUAGCCGGCUGUCCGUGGGAGGCCCUCAUUUUGCUUUGCUUUUCUGGGCCUUGGAGUGUCUGUGAAGAAAGCAGAGGCUGGGUUUGGUUUCUUGCUGCCUCCUUCUUCAGGAGCUGCUCAUAAGCUGAUAAAGCCAGAGAACACCUCCAGGCCCCAAGGUCUGAGCAGACCUGAUGCAGCAGUGUAGAGCCUGGGCAGGAAGGAGUGGGGGCCUGGGGAUGGUUGUGCACCGUCUGACCACAGGAUCGAGGCCAGGAGGUCGAGGGUGGGGAGGAUGUGUCUCGUGUUCAACCAGCGUGGCCUGCUGCGGCCUGGAAGGGGCUGUGUGUGCGCGGACCCCAGCUCAGGGUCCGUAAUGAGGCAUGAGGGUGUGAGACGGGCAUCAGGUUCUCGGUCCCAGCGCACCGUUCCAGGGAAGGGAAACUGACCUUUGUUAAGGGUCUCCCUUUGCUUAUCUGAUUUCAUCCUCAGAGCAGCUGCAUGAAGUAGGUGUGACUUCCCUUCUCCGGUUAGAGAAACGGUCCAUACUAAGUCACUUCACCAAGCUCACACACUUGGCCAGUGGGAUAGCCGAGAUUUAAACCCGGGCACUUCUGAUUCCAAAGCCUGGACUUUUUCUUCACCCUCUUGGGCCGAAGUCAGACAUUUUGGGGAGCUAAGACCGUCCGAGAUUAGGCAGCCGGCAGAACGGAUGGUAACUGAGUGAAAGGCCAGGUAUCUUGGGGACCGUGGCGGUCGGCGGGGACGGCUGUGCCACUUCCCUCUCUGGGGAGGCCGGGCAGAUGCAGAUGGCCCUUGGUGCCUGAGAACAGGCAGGGCUGAGCGUGGCAAAUACAGCCCUUCUCCAAACCCCCAUUCAGCCCCUCAGUCUGCCAGGGAUUGUACGAGGUGCCAGGGAUGCAGGGCUCAACAAAACCGAGUUUCUGCUCUCGUGAGGUGUACUUUCUGGCAUGGGGAGAGGUCACUCAUGAUGAUGACAAAGGGAAUUGGGAAAUAGGUAAAGUAGACUUAGCUGGAAAGGGGGACACCCACACACAUAAGAAGGACCCAGGGACCCAAGGAGGGAAUUUGAGACUGGGGAAGCCAUACUCAUAGAGCCCCCAGAGUUCACAGUGAUAGAGUUGCUAACCCCUCUCUUCUCCUAAGAGCUAGAAACUCACCCAAGGCCCCCACAGCUUACAAGAACUUGCAGUGAGUCAGGGAUCAAGCUGACGGUAGACAUCAAACCUCUGGUCACCAGCAGAUGAAGGUGUUUCCGUCAGCUGCCCUCCCCAGGUACCAGCUGGCGUCUCUGCCUCAGCCUCGUCACUGUGCCCCUCUCUCGUCCACACAGACAGGGGAACACUUGGCUUAAGUCUUCACCAAGUCACUGGUCAAGUCGGUGCCUGCCGGAGGCGGAAGUCAGCUUAGCCUCUCCUGCCCGAGCAUGGGGUUCCAACAUCCUCGCGACAGAGAAGGGACAGGGGGCAGGAGAGGGAGGAGAAGUCCCCGUGUGCUAGAGGCUUGGAUGAGUUGGGUGUCUUGCAAGGCUGAGGCAGGUUGGUGGCUGGAGGUGUUUCCGGUGUGUGGAGGGGAUGUUUCCAGUGUGUGUGGCUGCUGGGCUCAGGACUUCUUUACCGGGUAGAAGCAGGGCUCGUGGUGAGUCUAGCCACGUGAUUCUUCCUUCUUUGGUCCCGUAGUCAAAGCCUGGCCCACCUGGACCUCAGAGACUGCCACCUGCUGCUAGGGGGCGGGGGGGCUAAUGUCGCACAAGGAUGAGGUCUGCCUCUUGGGGUGUGGUUGUGGGGGCUCAGGGAAAGUGGGCCUUAUGUGGCAUGGUGGAGAAGACUUAGCAGACCCGCAUUCUGGCCCCGGCUUCCUUGGUAAAAUCUUACUCACUUUACCUCUUUGGGACUUAGUUUCAUUGUUUAUAUAAUGAGGGAGUUGAACCAGAAUCUUUCUGAAGGUGCCUGCCAACUCUGACCUGGGGCUCCCUGGGUGUUCAUGGAGGUAUUUCUUUGGCAGAAGACUGAGAACAGCUACAGUCCUGUUUUCUGAAGAGAUGUUGUCACCAUCAAUGAGGGCAGGUGGAUGGAGACAGUUUUCCAGGGACCCCCCGGUUGCAAGCGGGAAGGGGCCAGAGAUUGCAUGAAGGUGGCUGAUGAAGGUCAUCCAGGUGACCGAGGAUGUGAACUCUAGCUCCCACCCAGGGGCUUGUUUGGAGACAGGCUGUGUGGGAGCUGCCAGGGGACUGUCUGUUCCACAGGGCCUGACUUGAGAUGCCACCGUGCUCUAGGGAAGAAGUUCUGUCCUUUCUGGCCCUACAUCCUGGAGAGAACAUAGGACUGCAGGUCAGGUAUCCCAGCCUUCCCUGUUUAGGUUCUGUGCCCCUUGCUGUGAGGAAGUUUUCCUUUAUAUUUAUCCAUUUUUUCUCAUGUGGUUGUUGAAGUCCUUCUAUUUAAAAAAAAAAGGGGGGGUGAAAAAGAUGGGCGAAAAGAAAAAAAAAAUCUCCAAGCCACCCAUUCCAUCUUGGCUUUUUAGUCUUGAGUCGUUCUUUAAAAGGUAGCAAAAAUAAAGCACAUGCAGCAAGCCCAAGGUCCCAGACCCUCAGAGGCCAGUCUGGGGCUGUGGUGGCCUCCUUCCCCAGGGGCCAGCACUCCUCCAAGGCUGCGCGGGGCCAGGGGGGGCGGUAUCUGGGGCCACAGCACCCGCCGCACAAUCCGCCAAACAGAAUGCCGAGUUUUAAAAUUAGCAUUUCUUCAAGACACUUUCCGCGUGCCACUUUGCUGCACUCUUACCUGGGCCUCAUAGCUGUGAGCCCACCCCCUCUUGCCCCCAGAGUGAUGUGGCAGAUAGGGCUUUGGGCCAGAAUUCAGGCAGGAGCCCAAGUGAUUGGUGACCAACAUCUUGUGCAUGCCACACAAUGUUCUGCAGCUCUUUUCAGAUUUGCUAGCUCAUUUGAUCCUCACAGUGCCUGCGAGGGUAGGUGGUGGGUCCCCACAGUCGUUGAAACUGACUCACGGACAGCCUUGCCAAGAUCCACUUGCUUGUACUUGCUGAGUUGCGGUCACCCACCCAGGUCCCCCAACUCCAGAUAUCAUUUCUUUGGGUUUUAGUUGUUGUUCAACUGACCAGUGGGGCAGGGCAGGGACAGGGAGCGGGUCUUGGGCAGCUGACUUUAUCUCUGUAGGUCGCAGAUCUCUUUUCUACACACUGAAUGGGGAAGGGAGCUUCAGAAGGUCCAGGUUCUCCUAUUCUCACAUGCUUUCGGCUUCUUGGAGCUCUUAUGAAACCUGGCCUGCACUCCUUGGCCAGGAAGCCAGCCAUUCACCAUGUGUUUCUGGUGAGACUUCCUACAUUUGGAAGCUUCUGGAAUUAUGCAGUGCUUCUCAACCAUUCCGACACAUAUGUAGGGCACUUCGUGCAUGUACAUAUAGUCCUGUUUCUACCAAGUAGCUACUUAGAAGUGAGGCUUCCUUGUGGGAUCUGUGAGAUUUUUUUCCCAGCAGAUUGAUAAGGUAGGCCCAGAGCUUUGCCUAGCAUGUGUGUUGUGUGGAUGUUACCUAUUUGCUGGCUCAUUAACGUAUAGCCACCCCACCCCACCCCCCGGAAGAACUGGCUAACGGGCAGUGCGAGAUAUUGGAAGCGCUGGCUUCAGCUCUGGAUAUUGCUUCCUGAUAGAGUUGAAAAAGUAGGCCUUUCCCAUGGAGAGGAAGAUAAGUCAGAGAACGCCUAGGCGUCAGUGUUCCCCGGAUCCUGAGUGUAAGCCCACUCUUUAUGAGGAGGGUCAAGGCACAGCUCAGACUGCACAUUGUCUUGUCCGUGCGGCCCUCUGAGUGGCCUUUAUUCAGAGAGACCCAGAGCCUGUAUGAAGGGGCAUAGAAUGUUCGUCUUUAUUUAGAGCACACUAACACAUGUUGGUUUAGGCUCUCCCAGGGCAUGGAUCUUGAAGGUUUGGGGUUGGACAGAGUGGCAGCAUACGUAUGUCUGUCUGUCUGUAUUCCCCGGUUGCAGGCUUGGCUCACAGAGAAGCCCUGUCAUGGGGAAUCCACAGGGCAGUUGUUUUGCUGGACAAAGCUUUUGAUGACUUUUGUGUGAAGAUUUGUCAUAUGGCACCCAGAUCUUUGUUUUCCCGGAGGAUGGGAAGGAGGAUGGCAGAACCCAAAGCUGGGAGAUGAUUUAGGCCAGACUUCAGGGAGAACUGUGGUGGCCCUUUGCUGAGGGCUCCCAGAGAAACACAGAGCCUCUUUAUCUGACAAGAGGGACUGGAUGUCCCUGACAAGGUCCCUCCCAUCCCGAGUCUGUGGGACUCUGAGACCGUCCCUGGAACAGCACGAGCUUUGGGUGCCAGGACCUAAAGCGGGCUCUGUCUUUUCUUUCUGCCUCGGAGGCAAGCCUGACCUGGGUGGGGGCACAGGAGCAUCGGGCCUGGAGCUCUAGCCUUGUUUCCUCGUGCAGAGAGAACUUCUGGAACUGACUCUCUAGGAUUGAUAGUAUUUGUAAAUAAAAAAGAGGAGAAAGCGACGUUGUCCCCCAUCGCUGUCCGGAAAGAGCCCUGAGCUGCUCUAAUCCUGUAUUUGAAUCACCACCAUCACCCACCCAUUCUGAUGCCCCCUAGCCCUACGGAGCUCCGAGAGGCCCUGGAGAUGUGAAGGAGGUGGUGGCUGAGCCAGGAGGCAGGGACAGACGGGGUUGUCUGGGAAGAGGUUCGGAGAUGGAAGAGGACUAUCUCAGGGCAGGUCCACAGCUCUGGGACCCCUGGCACUGCCUGCUGUACCAAAGGCACGUGUGUGCUCCCAUGGGCAUACUAUUCAUUGGGAACCCCAGAGUCUGAAAUAAACCGGUUAAUGGCUGAAUGAGGGUUGCUUUCACGUGGAGAGUCAUAUAUCCUUUGUGUUGUUGUUCCUUUCUGCAGAUGUAGCGUCUGAAGGCCUGACAGGUUGGGGACCUUACCCUGGGCCCUCCCGUCUGUAAGGUUGUGCUUAUUUUGUGGUGCUUUUCUGUCCCCUCUCUUUUCUCUUUCCCACUCUCACACAGUCCUUAGGAACACGUGACUAUUUGUCCACGCACUUGUGUUCCUAUCUCCUUGGGGUACCGUUCUUCCAGGGUCUCUGACAUCAUUGAACGUAUUACUUUUAUUUCAAAUGUGAACAGACCACAGGCUCACUGCAGAGCAGAGGCCCCCAGAAACCGCCUCUCCACCUCAUCCUCGAGCGGGUCAUCCAGAGCCCCGGGGAGAGGAGAUCAAGGGUAUCUCUGCUGGGCCCAGCUCGGCCCCACAUCAUGUCACCUAUUGGGGGUAGGGGUGGCUCAGGCAUGAAUCCCCCACCCCCAGCACUAUUAGUGCUUUCUUUUUUUCAGCUUGAACCCCGAGUAGUGGCCUUGAAGGUCUGAGACCACAUGUCACCCUGCUAGGUGAGGAUGACAGAGAGGGACAGGGACAGAGGGGACGGGAGUCCGUGCUCCUGGCCACUGGCCUCUCUCCAAGACAGGUGAACUCUGUGUCCAGAGAGGAACUCAUUUAAUCUUUUGGCCCUAAUGAAAGUUGUUUGUGUUUUCUCUCCCUCGCUCUUCUCCCUCCUCUCUCUCCCUCAACGCCCCCGCCUCCACCCUCCAGCCUCCAAAAGAAUUUAAUCUGCUGGACAACAAACAAUACUGUUAUAAAACUUUGAAAACAAGAGGGUGAGGCCUCCCUGACAAGGAGAAGGGCAUGCCGGGUAACAGCUGGCGGAGCCUGCCAGGCCCAGGACGGAGCCGGGCGAGGGCCCAGUUGGCCGGGUACCUGGGCGCCUGCCCCUGCCCAGCCCACCAGCCGAGCCAUCCCCAGUCCAGAGGGGAAGGAACCGAAACAAAAGCAGGGGCAGAGAAGCUCCCGAAAAGGGGAAGUUGUAUGUGUUCCCCUCUCUCUGAUCUGAUGGGAGUGUGCUAGACUGUGAAACUUCCUCUCCCCCUCCCCCCACCUUCCUCCCCCUUUAUCCUCCCUCUGCCUGCCUCCUCCCACCACUCUCUGUUCCAGGUCCUGAGACUGGCAGGCCAGGCCCCAGUAACAGAACCAGGCAGGCCUAGCCCUUCAGGUGCAGCCCCCAGGCGGCCAGCUGCAUGGGAGGCAGGCGGGAAAGGUGCCCCGGGCUGGCUUUGGACUCUGGACAUACCCUCUGUGUGCCCAGCCUUCCCGCCCCCGACUAGGAAAGUGGAACCAUGUCAUGGGCUGUGCCCCGGUCUGCGUGCUUCACCAGCUGCGUGCCCCCAUAUCGGGGAGAGCCACCACUCGGGGCUUCGUCGGUCUGCCCCCAGCAUGCUGGUGCCUGUGGGGGCCCUGCUGUCCCUCCAGCAGGAGCGGGGGCUGAGCUGUGGUGCCCCCGAGCCUCAGAGACAUGCUUCCCGCGGCAGGCAGACACAGGGUCCUGUGAGUGGGGGCCCUGGUGGGGUACUGCAUCUGCUAGGUACUCUUGGUCAUUGAAGGAGUGGGUGAUUCCAGCCUUCCCGGUUAGAUUUCACCUGAGACUGAAGGUUCACGGCCACAUCCGUCUUCACCACACGGAGCAUGUGGUUUGGGGAGUGAUGAGGGGGAAGGAGCAGUGGUCUGCCUUUGCUUGGAGGUUGUUUGGACCUGUGAACUGGGUGGUGGGCAUUGUGAUUGUGUAAUGGGCUGUGGGCCUGCUCACUUCUCCUCUUGGGGGAGGCAGUUCAGGGCUGGGCCCAACCUCCUCUGCUAGAGCUAAGCCACUCUCUGGGGAAACGGGGGGCCCCCCAUGCUCCCAUCUCCACUCCGUCACUCAUCCUUCUCUGUGCUCCCCCUGUCUCCUGCUGCCCCCCACCCCCAUCUCCUGCUGCCCCCCACCCCCGUCUCCUGCUGCCCCCCACACCGCACAGCUUCCCAAGGCAUCCCGUCCUCCCAGCCAGGCAGCCAUUCCAACCCUGUACUGAAUCUGGGAGAUUUCCAGAUGCUGGUCUUCAUCCGUGGUGUCAAGGAAGGGACCGAGAACCGAACUUUGUGGAGAGCGGCUGCCUGGGUAGUUAGGCCUCUGUACGCCUGCCCCAGGGAAAACCAGAGCUGCUAAUGCUGGGUCCAUGUGAGCGGAGAAGGCUGUGAUCUCUCGCCCUGUUACUUCCACAGGCAUUCGAGGGGCGCAGUGGGUCUUGAGUAUGUUAUUCCCACUUCAGGAUCCAGCGUCUGGGAAGCGCACUGAUCCCUGGAUGCUGAGCCCCUUUUGGGGGGGGCGGGAUGGGGGGAGGCGAGCGGCCAGGAAAAGAGCCAACUCCAUGUUCUCCUCCCCGGCCCCCCAUACACAUACCCUUCAUUUUAUCACCCUUUCCUCUGAUUCAUUAACCACAGCUAGUUGGCACCAGGCCCCACCCUGACAGCUCAAGACAAAAUGUCCAGGACACUGUGUCUGGCCUGGGGCCGAGUGACAGGAAGCUGGGCCGGGCCUCUCUGUGUGCACAUACAAUGGGCUAGGGCCGUCUGGGGGGCAGAACCGUCCCUGUGUUCAAAAAGGUCUUCCCCAGGCCUCUCUCUCCCCAAGGUGACUCUUCCCCCACUUGCCAGGGGCCUCGAAACCAGGUGACAGGGAGACCUCCGAGCCCGGCGCCCCUCCCCCGCGUCAGUCAUGUAAGUAGCCGGGACUCAGCACCCAGCCCCGGCGGGAGGGAGAAGCUGCUGCCUCGCGGGAACUUUCCAGCGCUCUGGAUCUGAACACGUCGUGGUAGCACAGAACGAGGCGGCAGCAUCAGCUUCCUGGGGCUUUGUGUCUCUUGGCUCCAUGGGUUUGCUUAUGGACCUCAUAAACCAGGAUUCCUCCUCUCCUCCCCGCUUUCCUCCCAUGUUAUUUUGUGGGCACCAGGCCUGGCAUGGGAUUUUUAGGACUUUAAAAGACACAGACAGCAUCAUUUCUAGAAUGCAGUAGAAGCUCUCUUUGCAAUCUCCAGACUGCUGUUUAACCCGUGGCCCACGAGUUCUGUCUAUUUAACCCUCAGAUGUUUUUGUUUGGCCUACACAGAGUUUUUGUUGAUUUUUUUUUAAAUGUAUCUGAUUUGCAUGCCUUUAGACAAAAAGCCUCUCCAGGUCACUACUCCUGCUGCAUGUCGCUGCUUCUAUCCUGUUUCCUGUCCCAGCCCUGGAGCAUUUGAAUGCACUCGACACCAGGCCUCAUGAGCCCUCCUUUUUAGAACUGCGGUCCAUUCCAGGGAGGUGCAGGCCCCUGCUCUCGGGAGUCUGGGCUGAGCAGGAAUUAAAGCCGCUGACUUCUGAUUCACUCUGCGGUGGCCUUUCCUCCACCCUCGGUCCCUGCCUAAGGCAGAGGAGGGUCCUAGGCAGGAGGGGGUGGUCGAAUGUCUGCAGAGAAAUGGAUGGGGGCCGCAGUGUGCUUCCCAAACCCUUUUCCCCCUCCCAGAGCUGACAUACCCACCCCUCUGGCUGGCCGGUUUUCCUUCCCGGACAGCCCACCGAGCCCUUCCCACUGGCCAGUUUGCCUGGGGCCAUUAGGCCAGGCAGGGAGGAUCACACCAUCCGCUUUUGACGGCCUAGCCCUCACAGGCUGGGGCUUCUCCGGGCUGCCUUCUUACAGAUGGAGGUGGCCAUCGAGCUGCGUGCCAGGGAGCGCAGGCCCCUUCCAGCCCCCAUCCAGCCCCCUAGCUACAUCCAGCUGGGGAACAAGAACACCAGCUGGCUUCAGGUAAGUGAGCCAUUGCUUGGCAGACUUCGUGAGAGAAGCCUGGUUCUUUUGGGAGGGCUGAGACCUGCAUAGACUCUUGUAUCCAGUGGGGUUGUAGGGGCAAAAGGUCUUGGUACUAGGAUUACUUUCUUCCCCUCUUCUUGUGUUAGAGUGUUUAUGGUACUGUGUUAAGAAUGAUGUCUCUCUUCCUCCAGAGAACUGAGUAUGGUAGAACUCAGGUGCUGGGAGCCCGAGCUCUGGGUCAUGGCCAUUAGUUCCCUCAGUGAUGGUUGCUCCUCUGCAAUGCCCCCCGCCCCCCCGAACUCUGGGCUGAUGCUCCCUGGGUAGCAAGAGAGACUGUCAUUAAUCACCCUGAUGACCACGUAACGUACGUGCAUCCUGAAGGACAAGAACUAGGUGCUGUGACCCAAUCCCUGACUCACCUGGGGAAGGCUUCAGGCGACCUGCAUUACCUGGGGGAGGGUUGACAGGUGGUAGUUCUGGGAGGGUGGACAGAGAAUGUUCCAGAAAGAGGGAGCAGUGUAUGCAAAGGCCUGCUGGGGAAGGAAGGGGGCCAUCUGGAUCACUGAAAGACACUUGUGUGACAACACGUUAGGAAAUGUUCUGUGGAUACUGGCAGUUGGAAGUUGCUAAGGAGGAAGAGUUCAGCUGGAGUCAAAUGCCGAAAAGCUGAGAAGGACCAAAUAUAGAGCCCCAACCCCCUCUAUGAAAUGACUAUCAUUUACUACUUCCUGACCAUACAACCCUGGAAGUUACCUGCUUACCGGGGCCCAGCUGUUGACGGCAGGUGUCCUUGAUCAGAGCUGCUGCCCUGGCCUCCUGUCAGUGGCUGAGGCUGUGCAAAGGCCCUGGGCUCGGAGCCCAGUGCUGGGGUCAGAAUCUGCAGUCCAGCACAGGCAUUGUGGGCGGGUCCUCUCCAGCGCCUCCCCCCAACACAGCCAUGCUGUGGGUGCGGGAGGACGCAGCAGGCCAGCUCAGAGCACCGGGCCCCCUGCAGAACCAGCUGGGCUCCUGUCUCAACUAAAGUUCAAGCUGUUGUCAGUCACAUCCACAGCCAUGCAGAAACAUUGCCUAGGACUACCUUGCCUCCCCCCGCCCCAACCUUGCUCACAGUUGAGAUCAAGAACAGGAGGAGAUGAUAGACCAGCCAUGGAGCAGGCACAGUGGGCCAAGGGGCAGGAACAGAGACUGUGGAGUUAGAUCUGGGAUCUGCACCGUGUAUUAGUCACGUGACCGUGGGCAAGUUACUGAAGCAUGUUAAAGAGCAGUUUCUCCUGCAAGCAUGGGAAUAAUCCGUGCUUCCCGGGGCUGACACAAUUAAAGAGCACACUUUAGUGUUCAGAUUUUAUUUCCUCCUCUUUCCUGGAGAAGCGUAUGCUGUUAUUUCCAAGAGCCACAAUAUUUACAGGCCUGUGUCUGGAGGCCCACACAGCUGGUAGAAAGCCGCAGAGGUACAGAUUCCACUGUCUCUCUUUCCGGGGUUGUGGUAUCCCGGGAAAACAGACACGUUUUCUCAGCUUCAGACAACCAAAAACGACCCAUUUAGGAGUUGGGAAAUCUAAUUUGAACACAGGAUGCAAAUCUUACUUUCAGACAAAUUCUGAAAACAACACACAACUCAGUUCUCAGAGGAUUAUCUACUUAACACGGUUUUAGGACAUCACGUUUUUUUGUGUCACGGCCGAGGAUAAAUAAGAUUGCCAAUGUUCUGAGCUUUACAUAAGGCAGGGAAGGAGGAGCCUGAGCUCUUUCUGAGCAGGGCACAUGGAAGGGUUGCCCAGGUCUGGGCGAAACGCCCCUCUGUGUACUGGCUAGAACCUCAUGGGCAGAUAGGGUGCUUCUUUCCCGACGACGUGAGCUAGGAUUGGAAAACACUUCGCGUGCCAUGAAAUAUUUUCUAGAGCAGGGCAGUGCUAAUGAAGGUAUCAGUGCAUUUUAAUAAUAGCUCUGGGAGACUUGAUUUUAUCCUAUAGCUAAUACUCUUAUUAGGACCCGUUGUGGAAUUAAACAGCAUUAACCAGACUUCAUGAGUUAUGUACCACCACCGGGUGUGUGAAGCCUCAGCCGUGACGUCAGCCAGCCUCGAGCGCCACUGGGGAGCUCUUCGCUGGGCCUUUGUCACGGAUGGUGAUGUCACAUCGCAAGCGGAACCGCAAGAAGACCUCCCUCCCUCCUCGGGGCAGAGCCUGGGUCUUCCAAUGACAUCUUCCUUCUUUCUUCAAUGAGAUCCUCUUCUUCUGGAAGCUGGUUUCACAUGGUGGCUUAGAUUUUUCCAUCUUUGUAUCUAGCACCAUUUGAAAUCAGUGUUUUAGGAGUAAGAAUUGCAGCACAGCAAAGGGCCACCUGCAGAGGAGCCUCCGCGGGUGGGACGGGCGCCCUCCCCCUGCCCCUGAGCCGGCCCAAGAAAGGAAGACCUUGCAGAGGAGAGUGCACCCUAGCGUACCUGGGCUGUGGAGGGGUGAUGGAGCGGGGAGGGUGUGGUGUGUAAAGGGAACUCUGCCUCCGAGCAGGGGCAGAGGGGUGCCAGCUUGUCACAGCCACCAGGGCUCACCUGCCCGUUGGGCCUUCAAGCGCAGAGUUGGGGCCGUGCUCCACGCGGGGCUCGAUUGUACCAGGGGAGGGGCGGGGCUGUGUACCCGGAGGACGGCCCCAUCCGCGUCAGCACUGCGCCCGCUCUAGACGCCCCGGAACCUUCAGCUGCUGCUGCAGGGCGGCUGGAAUCAGACUCGCCACCUGCACGGCCGAGGGCAGGACCCCCAGGAGCGCCACUGGACCCAUCUCUUACACAGGCUGACCGAUUUCUCCUGGUGUUCAGAGUCUGUUUUUGUCUAGCACCAUUUGAAAUCGGUUAUGAUGUAGGGGGACAAGCAGCAGCCUCGAAGCCUCGUGCCAACCGUGGUGAGCAAGCGCCCGUGGUCUCCCGGAGGACGGACGGGCAGAGUGGGGAAGGACGAUCUCGCGCUUUUUUCACUAACUUCUUUAACUGCAUUUAUGAUGCCUUAUUGCAGAGGUAAGAGAGCACUGAAUGUCUUUUCAAAGACAAAUGGCCAUAAUGCAUCUGAGGUCCCGGGUUGCAUGUUGCUGAAAUGCGGCAGCUGCUGUCAGCGGUUGCUGUUGAAUCAUCUUUCCGUGAAGAGUCUGUUCGUGCUCCUGACCUGAAUAAAUACUUCACUCUACUCAA